rnacentral:snRNA from 1 species
GGAUGUGAGGGCGAUCUGGCUGCGACAUGUCACCCCAUUGAUCGCCAGGGUUGAUUAGGCUGAUCUGGCUGGCUAGGCGGAUGUCCCCUUCCUCCCUCACCGCUCCAUGUACGUCCCUCCCGAAGCUGCUGCGCGCUCGGUCGAAGAGGACGACCACCCCCAUAGAGGAGGUCCGUUUCCUCGGUCAAGGGUAUACGAGUAGCUGCGCUCCCCUGCUAGAACCUCCAAACGAGCUCUCAAAGAUGUCUCCCUUCACUAAAUAUAGUGCUUUUCACAUUCAUAAUGUACUGUUUUGUGCACCUAU